UACGGGAGGAGCAGUGGGGAAUAUUGCACAAUGGGCGCAAGCCUGAUGCAGCCAUGCCGCGUGUAUGAAGAAGGCCUUCGGGUUGUAAAGUACUUUCAGUCGUGAGGAAGGUGUUAAGGUUAAUAACCUUAGCAAUUGACGUUAGCGACAGAAGAAGCACCGGCUAACUCCGUGCCAGCAGCCGCGGUAAUACGGAGGGUGCGAGCGUUAAUCGGAAUUACUGGGCGUAAAGGGCACGCAGGCGGUUAAUUAAGUUGGAUGUGAAAUCCCCGGGCUUAACCUGGGAAUGGCAUUCAAGACUGGUUAGCUAGAGUCUUGUAGAGGGGGUAGAAUUCCAUGUGUAGCGGUGAAAUGCGUAGAGAUGUGGAGGAAUACCGGUGGCGAAGGCGGCCCCUGGACAAAGACUGACGCUCAUGUGCGAAAGCGUGGGGAGCAAAC
rnacentral:rRNA from 1 species